CUCCUAUGGAUGUCAUGGUCACAGAGGUGCAGUUGAAAAGACGUCGAUCUGUAUUUGAGCACACACCCUCACCGAAGAUUUCCUAGAACACAACAGGCAUUCUUUCUGCUCCUCAUGUUCUUGGCGAGUGUCCUGCUCUGUGGGAUCCGAAGCAGCUCUCCCUCCUCUUCCUCCUCCUUUGGAUGGCUCUGUCCACCUGGAAUCCCCUCAGGAUAUUUCCUCAGGUAGUCAACUUCUUCUCUCCCGUGUGGAUGUCCCGGUCACCAAGGCUCUGUUGAGAAGAAGUCAAUCUCUAUUGGAGAAUACACCUCCCGAAAGUUUUCCUAGAACACAACAGAGGAAUUUCUUACGCACCAUCUUCGUGCCCUGCAGCUGCUGCCAACAUGUGGGUACCUUGGAGGGUAGACCUGUCCUUACCAGUUGAGCACCUUAGCUGGGUGGAGGCAACUGGGAGGUGGAACUGGCAUUCAGGCAUCCUGACCUGAGGAAUCCUCUGAACUCCAGGGCCAAGAGUGAAGACGUGGAUGAUAGUUCCUGGGAAGAAUCAACUGGGUUUCAGCAACAAGCCUCACCAAAAUCUAAAUAAUAGGGAUUCCUUCUCCAAUAAUGCCCCAAAAAAGAGCUAGGGGGGUCUAAGAAAUUUUGCUUGUGCCUCUUAAAGUUCAUCGUUUUCCUCACUCAAAACAUUACCCAGUGCCAGUAGUCAAUGGAGA